rnacentral:rRNA from 1 species
CGCAAGUCUGAUGGAGCAACGCCGCGUGAGUGAAGAAGGUUUUCGGAUCGUAAAGCUCUGUUGUUGGUGAAGAAGGAUAGAGGCAGUAACUGGUCUUUAUUUGACGGUAAUCAACCAGAAAGUCACGGCUAACUACGUGCCAGCAGCCGCGGUAAUACGUAGGUGGCAAGCGUUGUCCGGAUUUAUUGGGCGUAAAGCGAGCGCAGGCGGAAUGAUAAGUCUGAUGUGAAAGCCCACGGCUCAACCGUGGAACUGCAUCGGAAACUGUCAUUCUUGAGUGCAGAAGAGGAGAGUGGAAUUCCAUGUGUAGCGGUGGAAUGCGUAGAUAUAUGGAAGAACACCAGUGGCGAAGGCGGCUCUCUGGUCUGCAACUGACGCUGAGGCUCGAAAGCAUGGGUAGCGAACAGGAUUAGAUACCCUGGUAGUCCAUGCCGUAAACGAUGAGCGCUAGGUGUUGGGGACUUUCC